CCCCCGGCUUAACCGGGGAGGGUCAUUGGAAACUGGGGAACUUUGAGUGCAGAAAGAGGAGAGUGGAAUUCCACGUGUAGCGGUGAAAUGCGUAGAGAUGUGGAGGAACACCAGUGGCGAAGGCGACUCUCUGGUCUGUAACUGACGCUGAGGAGCGAAAGCGUGGGGAGCGAACAGGAUUAGAUACCCUGGUAGUCCACGCCGUAAACGAUGAGUGCUAAGUGUUAGGGGGUUUCCGCCCCUUAGUGCUGCAGCUAACGCAUUAAGCACUCCGCCUGGGGAGUACGGUCGCAAGACUGAAACUCAAAGGAAUUGACGGGGGCCCGCACAAGCGGUGGAGCAUGUGGUUUAAUUCGAAGCAACGCGAAGAACCUUACCAGGUCUUGACAUCCUCUGACAAUCCUAGAGAUAGGACGUCCCCUUCGGGGGCAGAGUGACAGGUGGUGCAUGGUUGUCGUCAGCUCGUGUCGUGAGAUGUUGGGUUAAGUCCCGCAACGAGCGCAACCCUUGAUCUUAGUUGCCAGCAUUCAGUUGGGCACUCUAAGGUGACUGCCGGUGACAAACCGGAGGAAGGUGGGGAUGACGUCAAAUCAUCAUGCCCCUUAUGACCUGGGCUACACACGUGCUACAAUGGACAGAACAAAGGGCAGCGAAACCGCGAGGUAAGCCAAUCCCACAAAUCUGUUCUCAGUUCGGAUCGCAGUCUGCAACUCGACUGCGUGAAGCUGGAAUCGCUAGUAAUCGCGGAU
rnacentral:rRNA from 1 species